UGGGAUGUGGCGCAGUCGGUAGCGCGCCGGUCUGGGGGAUUGGAGGUCGCCGGUUCGAACCCGGCAAUCCCAA
rnacentral:tRNA from 1 species